GGGGAAUUUUGGACAAUGGGGGAAACCCUGAUCCAGCCAUCCCGCGUGUGCGAUGAAGGCCUUCGGGUUGUAAAGCACUUUUGGCAGGAAAGAAACGUCGCGGGUUAAUACCCCGCGGAACUGACGGUACCUGCAGAAUAAGCACCGGCUAACUACGUGCCAGCAGCCGCGGUAAUACGUAGGGUGCAAGCGUUAAUCGGAAUUACUGGGCGUAAAGCGUGCGCAGGCGGUUCGGAAAGAAAGAUGUGAAAUCCCAGAGCUUAACUUUGGAACUGCAUUUUUAACUACCGGGCUAGAGUGUGUCAGAGGGAGGUGGAAUUCCGCGUGUAGCAGUGAAAUGCGUAGAUAUGCGGAGGAACAUCGAUGGCGAAGGCAGCCUCCUGGGAUAACACUGACGCUCAUGCACGAAAGCGUGGGGAGCAAAC
rnacentral:rRNA from 1 species